GACGAACGCUGGCGGCGUGCUUAACACAUGCAAGUCGAACGAAGUGGCGAACGGGUGAGUAACGCGUAAUCAACCUGCCCUUCAGAGGGGGACAACAGUUGGAAACGACUGCUAAUACCGCAUAAUGAAGGAGGGGAUUGCGUCGGAUCAGAUAGUUGGAGGGGUAACGGCCCACCAAGGCGAUGAUCAGUAGCCGGGCUGAGAGAAUGACAGGCUACAUGGGGACUUAGACACGGCCCAGACUCCUACGGGAGGCAUCAGUGGGGAAUCUUCCGCAAUGGAGGAAAGUCUGACGGAGCAACGCAGCGUGAGUGAUGACGGCCGUCGGGUUGUAAAGCUCUGUUAAUCGGGACGCGGUACCGGAAUAGAAAGCCACGGCUAAAUACGUGCCAGCAGCCGCGGUAAUUC
rnacentral:rRNA from 1 species